rnacentral:rRNA from 1 species
UGGGGAAUAUUGCACAAUGGGCGCAAGCCUGAUGCAGCAACGCCGCGUGAGGGAUGACGGCCUUCGGGUUGUAAACCUCUUUUAGCAGGGAAGAAGCGAAAGUGACGGUACCUGCAGAAAAAGCACCGGCUAACUACGUGCCAGCAGCCGCGGUAAUACGUAGGGUGCAAGCGUUGUCCGGAAUUAUUGGGCGUAAAGAGCUCGUAGGCGGUCUGUCGCGUCUGCUGUGAAAUCCCCGAGGCUCAACCUCGGGCCUGCAGUGGGUACGGGCAGACUAGAGUGCGGUAGGGGAGAAUGGAACUCCUGGUGUAGCGGUGGAAUGCGCAGAUAUCAGGAAGAACACCGAUGGCGAAGGCAGUCCUCUGGGCCGUAACUGACGCUGAGGAGCGAAAGCGUGGGGAGCGAACAGGAUUAGAUACCCUGGUAGUCCACGCCGUAAACGUUGGGCGCUAGAUGUGGGGACCAUUCCACGGUUUCCGUGUCGCAGCUAACGCAUUAAGCGCCCCGCCUGGGGAGUACGGCCGCAAGGCUAAAACUCAAAGGAAUUGACGGGGUCAUAGCU